rnacentral:rRNA from 1 species
GCACAAGCGGUGGAUGAUGUGGUUAAUUCGAUGCAACGCGAAAACCUUACCACCUUUGACAUGGCAGGAAUCCCGAAGAGAUUUGGGAGUGCUCGAAAGAGAACCUGCACACAGGUGCUGCAUGGCUGUCGUCAGCUCGUGUCGUGAGAUGUUGGGUUAAGUCCCGCAACGAGCGCAACCCUUGCCAUUAGUUGCUACGAAAGGGCACUCUAAUGGGACUGCCGGUGACAAACCGGAGGAAGGUGGGGAUGACGUCAAGUCCUCAUGGCCCUUAUAGGUGGGGCUACACACGUCAUACAAUGGUCGGUACAGAGGGUUGCCAAGCCGCGAGGCGGAGCCAAUCCCACAAAGCCGAUCGUAGUCCGGAUUGUUCUCUGCAACUCGAGAGCAUGAAGUCGGAAUCGCUAGUAAUCGCGGAUCAGCAUGUCGCGGUGAAUACGUUCCCGGGUCUU